GGACGAACGCUGGCGGCGUGCUUAACACAUGCAAGUGGAGCGACGAACCGGGGGCUUGCCCCGGGGGCAGAGCCGCGAACGGGUGAGUAACACGUGGGUAACCCACCCCGAUGACCGGGACAACCCGAGGAAACUCGGGCUAAUACCGGAUGUGCUCGCUUCUCAUAAGGGAGACGAGUAAAGAUAGCUUCGGCCUUCGCAUC
rnacentral:rRNA from 1 species